CUGCUCGCUUCGGCAGCACAUGUACUAAAAUUGGAAUGAUCCAGAGAAGAUUGGCAUGGCCCCUGUGCCAGGAUGACAUGCAAAUUAGUGAAGCGUUCCAUAUAUAC
rnacentral:snRNA from 2 species